GGGUUUGAUUAUGGCUCAGAACGAACGCUGGCGGCAGGCCUAAUACAUGCAAGUCGAGCGCGCCCUUCGGGGUGAGCGGCGGACGGGUGAGUAACGCGUGGGAAUAUGCCCUUCUCUAAGGAAUAGCCUCUGGAAACGGAGAGUAAUACCUUAUACGCCCUUUGGGGGAAAGAUUUAUCGGAGAAGGAUUAGCCCGCGUUAGAUUAGGUAGUUGGUGGGGUAAUGGCCUACCAAGCCUACGAUCUAUAGCUGGUUUGAGAGGAUGAUCAGCCACACUGGGACUGAGACACGGCCCAGACUCCUACGGGAGGCAGCAGUAGGGAAUCUUAGACAAUGGGGGCAACCCUGAUCUAGCCAUGCCGCGUGUGUGAUGAAGGCCCUAGGGUCGUAAAGCACUUUCGCCAGAGAUGAUAAUGACAGUAUCUGGUAAAGAAACCCCGGCUAACACCGUGC
rnacentral:rRNA from 1 species